CCCAUCGGUCUCCCCACGCCACACGUCUUCGGCACCGGUGCCGUAUCCUCACGGGACUCCUCUUCCCUUCCCAUCUGACCCGGCCUCCUCGAUAAUAAAAUCCCCACCCCCCUCUCCAAUCCUAUCCGCAAAGCCGACCCAAUCCCCACCGAAGAAUCUCCGACCGAUCGAAGCCAGGGCUCUCUCGUCCUCCUCCCCAAGAUCUUUGUGAAGACCCUCACCGGCAAGACCAUCACCCUUGAGGUUGAGUCGUCGGACACCAUCGACAAUGUGAAGGCGAAGAUCUAGGACAAGGAGGACAUCUCCCUGGACCAGCAGCGCCUCAUCUUUGCCGGCAAGCAGCUCGAGGAUGGCUGUACAUUUGCUGACUACAACAUCCAGAAGGAGUCCACCCUUCACCUGGUGCUCCGCCUUCGUGGUGGUAUGCAGAUCUUCGUCAAGACCCUGACGGGCAAGACCAUCACACUGGAGGUGGAGUCCUCGGACACCAUCGACAACGUGAAGGCAAAGAUCCAGGACAAGGAGGGCAUCCCCCCGGACCAGCAGCGCCUCAUCUUUGCUGGCAAGCAGCUUGAGGAUGGUCGCACUCUUGCUGACUACAACAUCCAGAAGGAGUCCACCCUUCACCUGGUGCUCCGCCUUCGUGGUGGUAUGCAGAUCUUCGUCAAGACCCUGACAGGCAAGACCAUCAUGUUGGAGGUGGAGUCCUUGGACACCAUCGACAACGUGAAGGCGAAGAUCCAGGACAAAGAGGGCAUCCCCCUAGACCACCAGCAUCUCAUCUUUGCUGGUAAGCAGCCUGAGGAUGGCCGCACUCUGGCGGACUACAACAUCCAGAAGGAGUCUACCCUUCACUUGGUGCUUGAGUUAAUUGCAGGGAAGUAUAACACUUGCAGUUGUAACGGAUCAGUACCAUUAUUCAGAUUUUUUACAAGUCAGUACCAUGUUUGAGGCUGGUCGCUGCAAUACGGGCUAAGCCGCGUAUAACUCUGUAUUGACGCUGUAUCUGACAACCCGGCCCCACCAGUUAGUUCAUAAGCCGCCGAACCGGUGCGUCGCUCGGGUGGCUAGGACGGACCCGGCUCGGUUGGUCUUGGCUCGGUCUAACCCUAGUAGUUCUCUCCUCUCCCUCUCCCUCUCCUCGCGCUGGCUAGUCCGGGCGGCGGCGGUCGCGGUGGCUGGAGCAACGGAGGCGUUGUGGGCGGGUAUGGAGACCUCCCUAGACUCGGGAGCAAUGCGCACAAAGGAAUCGAAGUUGACGGUGAGGAGUCCAGUUCGUCUGCUUACUACAACGACGACGACGAGGGCAUGGAGGUGCCGCUGUCCAUGGAGCAGUGGCUGCGGCUGGCUGAGAUCUGGGUGGCCAACCCUACCACGAGCCAUCACUGGAGCCAUGGAUUGGGUGGCGUACGUAAGUGCUUUGUCCUCUCCCUCUCUACUCUCUCAUUUGUGCCAUGAUUCGGGCUAGGGUUAGGUUUAUUGAAAUUUUGAUGUCCAUUGUAGUUUGGAUGAUGUUGUUUGGGAUGUUAGGAUUCACUUCGAUGCUCAGCAUAAUUUGGAUAGGAAGAUAUGCAACUCAGAUGUCACAUAUUUGAAUUUGUAUGCACUGAUGCGAACAUAAGGAUUUAAGUUCAAUGAUGAAUUGUACCACAUGGGGAAUACAUGCAUAGGAGUGCAGAGAGAGCAUGCCCUAGAUUUGAUAGACACAAACAUCAAGUUGCAGCAAAUUAAGAAGCAGAAUGAGGACAUUUUACUUCUGAACUUGUUAGUCAGGGCCACAACAUUUGUCAGUACUGCAUCUCAUGUUAGUGAGGAAAAAUUAGCCACAGUUCUAUAUGAAGAACCUGUUGUGUAUGAUCUGAGAGAUCCUCCUGUGCUUGCUGUUAAUGAUCAUGGUAUUAUUUAUGAGAGUCAAAGCAGUAACAGUAGUGCACUAGUACAACCUGCUGGUAUGUGCACACGAGAGCAGAAAUGUCAGCAAGAGGAAGCUCAAAUCUGUGAUGGAAGAAGAGGAAGAGGAGGGAUAUAAGAGUAAUGGCGACUCCCAAGGGGCAUAUGACAGUGACAACAACCCUUUCUGCAUGAAGAAGUACAAGAUUGCUGAAGACACAGAGAUAAUAGAGGGAAAGAGGCUAGCCGAUGCAUAACUAGAAAAGGAUGCAGAUUCAGAUGAAGAAACAGAUAAGGAAUAGCUACACUAUGAGGGUGACACUGAGGUUGAGGAGUUGUUUGAUAUUGAGGAGGAAGAUUCUGAGAAGGAGAAGGAACCACCCAUAAAAGCAGCUGGUAAAAAGAGGCAAAAGCUGCCAGUUAGGAGAGGGCCCACCACUAGGACACAUUCUAAUGUGUUAGAGGACUUGAAACCAGAUUUCAGGCCAUCAUUAGAUGAAGAAGAUACCAGGGUUGCUAUUGGAUAGUGAAGAUGAUCAAUUUGAGCCACUAGCAUUUGUCCUACCAAAAGGAAGGAAGAGUAGGGCCAUGAAAAGGCCAGCAAGGAUAUGGUACAAUGAAAAACUAGAGCAACCACAUCAACAACUAUGUAUGCACAUGUGUUUCACAAACCAGCAGCAAUUCAGAGAUGCUCUGUUGAGCUUGCACAUUACACAAGUCAGAAAUUUUAGGUAUCAUAGAAACUCAGACAAAAGGAUAAUUGUUGAAUGCAAACAGGAGCAUUGUCAGUUCUCAUAGUUGCAGCAGUUAUCAAAGGGGAGAAGACAUUUACAAUAUAAAAAAUGAGGCUGCAGCACACUUGCCCUAGCACUACAGAGACAUCAAGGGUUAGUGCAAAGUGGCUUGCACAGACAUAUGAGUCACUGUUCAGGUCUGAUCCAAACACAAGUAUUUUGACUCUGAUUGACAACUGCAAUGAGAAGUAUGGUGUUGAUGUGCCCAAGCACAUGGCCUAUAGGGCCAAAAUCCUUGCUGUAGAGGCUGUUUUAGGAGAACACAAGAAACAGUAUCCCAGGCUGAGGGACUAUGCUCAAACAAUCAUGGAUACAAACCAUGGGAGUAGAGUUAUAGUUACAACUAUAACCCCAAAACCUACUACAAAAAUACCACAUUCAGGACCAAGAUUUCAUGCUAUGUUCUUCUGCAUCAAUGGAGCAAGGGAGGGCUUUCUCAGUGGAUGCAGACCAUUCAUAGGUGUUGAUGGCUGCUUUAUUAAGCUCACCACUGGUGCUCAAAUACUUGCUGCCGCUGGCAGAUAUGGCAACAACAACAUUUUCCCAUUGGCAUUUGGUAUUGUUGGACAAGAGGAUACAACAAAUUGGUGUUGGUUUCUGCACCAACUGAAGAUAUGUUUAGGAGGAGAAGUUGGACAAUUUGGUCCUUAUACUAUCAUGUCUGAUAGACAGAAGAUAUGA
rnacentral:rRNA from 1 species